GUCCCAGUGACAGACAAUGUCCUUCCCGCCAGUGGCUGUCUCCUGUAAGUCUUCCUGGGUGUUCCUGCAAGGUUUCCUCAUGAAGAUACCAUGAGAAAAAGUCAGCAGCAAGAAAGAUGAAGAGAGGAUGAGAGGGCUCCACAGGCGACAGAGCAUAGAGAGUGCUGAGGGUUCCUUAGCCUGCGAAAGAGACUACUGAAGAAACGAGCAAAGCCCAAAGAAAGCACCGUGGAAAGACAGGAGAGUCAAUAGCAGAGAACCAGAUUUCUCAUAAGCCACAGCACUGAUGAUACCCAGAAAGGACCUCAGAGGGCUCCCCAUCAACAUAAGCCCCGUGAGCCCCAGAAAUCUGCUGUGGCCACUUCACCUCAGCCACAUUAUAGUCUGGCGCUUGGACCACCCCCCUUUCCUCACCCUUAAAUCAAGGGCCGGGUGAAGAUUUUGUCUCAGAAGCCCUGUGCUCCGUGGUGAGAUUUGUGCCUACAGUCUGUCUACAUGAGCACGUCAUGAGGGGGUGGUGCAGCUUGUCCUCCCUCAUCCCCGGAACUUCCUGGCCUCCUUGGUAACACAAACAGUGAUUUCUGCUGCCUGGUCU